rnacentral:lncRNA from 1 species
UGCCACUCAGUUUGAGAGACGGUGAAACGAUCACUGAAGCAUGAGGUUCCCCACAUCUCUGCUAUAUGCGUGAAAUCACAUAGAUAAACCACAGAUUCAAGAAAAAACAAGGCAUGGAGAUUAUGCAGCACUGAAGUCCUGAUAAUAGAGAAAUGGCAAAGCUUUAAAAUCAUGAUGAGGUGUGAGUUACAUAAGUACACUCCAUUUUUGAUGGCUUGAGAGUAGCAUAAAACUGUUGGGUAAUCUUAAUUGAACAUAAUUGCACCUUUUGAAAACUAAGAAUGGUGCAUUAGAUUAAAAAAAAACAAAGUACUGUCAUUGUAUCAUGACUUCAUUUUAGUGUUAUCACAUCCAUUCAGUAUUCUUGGACUUGUCUGGAAUUUUUUAUUUUUAAAUGUGAUUUCUCCAGGCAGACAUUUCUAGGGCCAGGGCAGGUUCUUCUAUGUCUUGUUUAUUCUUUUUCAUAAAUAACAAAACCCUUUUUCACAGAAGCCUUUCGUUUUAGUGACAUGGAAAGCUAAGAUGCGACUGUUAUUGCAAAAAUCCCUCUUACUGCCUUACAAGACAUGCUGAUUUUAUCCUGAGUCUCAGGUAAUGCUGUUUUUAGCUCAGACCUGCACAUAAUGAAUUUUUCUUAGCCAUCAGAAUAUUAACAGGAAACACUUGCCUGUUUGGUGGGUGUGUAUUUGCCUCAGAGUACACAAGUCCCAUUUUUCUCCCCCAUUUUGUUCUCAUUCUUCGGUACAUGGACAGGCUGUAAAAAGAGUGCACACGUGAGAGUCUGGCAUUGAUAGUUCUGCAGCACACCUGGGAAAAGGGCAUGGCAGAAGCUGAGAGCUGCAGGGGGAAGCCCUGCUCUGGUGGCUUUCGGCUGAGAGUGCUCAGUGUGCUGGCAGGACUCCUGAUUAUCCGCCGAGAUCUGCAGAUGCUUCUGGAAGCUGAGAGCUCUGUGCUGGCAGCCUGCAGGUUGCACGUCACAGCGAACCCAGGAGGCGACGAGCAUACUCCAAACGUCCCUCUGACGUCGUGUUUGUUGAAGGGCCGAAGGAGUCGGGAAUUCACAUUUCUUUCCUCCUGUCCGAUGAACGGACGGAGCGCCCCACUCAAAGAUGGCGGCGUGGGGCGCUGCCCGGCACAAAGAUGGCGGCCGGAGGCGUGAUCGCGGCGGGCUCGGCCCGGGCCCGGCCCCUGGCUGAGGGCGGGACUUCCUGGGGCGGAGCGGCGG